GUACACGCUGUGACUAGCAUAUCAAUAAGCGGAGGAAAAGAAACUAACAAGGAUUCCCCUAGUAACGGCGAGUGAAGCGGGAAGAGCUCAAAUUUGAAAUCUUAAAGGGUUUCCCUUUACGAAUUGUAGUUUAAAGAAGUGUUUUCUGUUGAGGUUUUGGUAAAAGUUCUUUGGAAUAGGGACAUCAUAGAGGGUGAGAAUCCCGUAUUUGACCUUUACUUUCAACUUUGUGAUACACUUUCAAAGAGUCGGAUUGUUUGGGAAUGCAGUCCAAAAUGGGUGGUAAAUUUCAUCUAAAGCUAAAUAUUGGCGAGAGACCGAUAGCGAACAAGUACCGUGAGGGAAAGAUGAAAAGAACUUUGAAAAGAGAGUUAAACAGUACGUGAAAUUGUCAAAAGGGAAGCGUUUGACACCAGUGUUGUUUUUCUGAAAAUCAAUUAAAGAACUGUUUAUGCUAAGCUGUUUAGACUUUAUCAGCUAAUCUGUUUAGUUUUGAGCUUUUCUUUAAUGCACUUUUCAGUUAACAAGUCAACAUCAAUUUCUUUUGCUGUAAAAAAGCUUGAGGAAGGUGGCUUGAGAUUCGUCUUAAGUGUUUAUAGCCUCUUGCCUAUGCAGUCGGAGAGAUUGAGGUCUGCAAGCGUAGAUCCUUCGGGGCUAAAUGCAUUUGUGCUAAGUUAUAGCAUUUUAUAGACAACUUGUUGACUAUGAUUUGUCUUGUAGCUUACUCGCUUAUGUUAUUUUACCUACGCUUAGGAUGUUGACAGCAGUAUAGACUGU
rnacentral:rRNA from 1 species